UUUUUGCUCUAUGUACACGUUUAUAAAAAUAUAGGUGCGACAGUGCCUGAGUGUUUGUGGCUAUGGCAAGCUGUUCUGACAUUUAUUACAUGGACAGGAAUCAUAGUCACUAAAAAGGCAAUAUGAGAAUUAGUUCUUCAUAAUAACUCCUUUUAAGAGAGCACAAAAAAUAACUAUGACCAUCUGUAAAGGAGGAUGAUGAUCAUACAGCUGCAGAGAUCCCAAAUUAAUUUGGCAUCAGGUAAUAUUGCUGGUGUAAAUUGUCAUUACACUGUUGUCUAUAGAUAAUAAACGUGCAAAGAUUUAUUUUAUCUGUUAUCUGUAAAGCGAAGCUCACAUUUAAUGAAUACCAUGACAGCAAUUUUUCCCUAAACUUUUAUCUCAAUAUUAAAAAUCAAGAUUUCAAUAAACAUCAUGUUUGACAAGUCACAACUUUUUUUUUUGGGGGGGGGGGGGGGGGGGGGUAACAAAAACACUGAAGAUAUUUGUUGAGUAAAUUUGACAUCACAUUUGUGACGACAUUGCAGACUUCAAAUGAAGACCCGGGUGCAAGAAGUACUUAAGUCACUUUUUAAAUGAGCUGACACCAGUACUGUAAUUCACUAAGGCCACCAGAGCAUCAUUUGGAACCAAGACAUUAAGAAAAUCAGUACUCAAGU